UAAAUGUCUUACUGCCUUUAAGCUACCAAGUUCCAGAUGCUACAUUCCAUCCUGACUUCCCUGGGCAGAUGACAUCACCAAUGUGUCCCAGAACCUCAUCUCUCCAGAGCCCUAACCUCUAAGGAAAGAUGUAAACAGAUUGGGGAAACUUCCUCACCCUUGAUAGAUUUAUUCAAGUCACCACAGAGAUACAUCAUAAGGACUGGGGAACAUUUUGGCAGAUCCUGGAGUGAGAAACAGUCUAGAAGGAAGUCAGUAACAGCACCUGCUGUGGUCCAGCCUGGAGUACCCAGAAUUUCCACUUGGGGGUAGUCAACUUGUGGAGACAUGAAGCAGAGACAAGAAAUACACUUACAAGAAUAUAAAGGCAUUUUUAAACUUGGCUUUAUUCAUACUCGGGAAAAAAACUGACAGUCAGAACUUAGCAAGUGACUUGGGAGAAAGAGCUUACAUCAGGUAAGGGCCCCUCCUGUAGGAGUGCACCUGUUGCUGCACCUCCU